rnacentral:rRNA from 1 species
GCUAGUUGGUGGAGUAAUAGCCUACCAAGGCAAUGAUCUAUAGCUGAUCUGAGAGGAUGAUCAGCCACACUGGAACUGAGAUACGGUCCAGACUCCUACGGGAGGCAGCAGUGGGGAAUAUUGGACAAUGGGCGAAAGCCUGAUCCAGCCAUGCCGCAUGAGUGAAGAAGGCCUUUGGGUUGUAAAGCUCUUUUAGUGAGGAAGAUAAUGACGGUACUCACAGAAGAAGUCCUGGCUAACUCCGUGCCAGCAGCCGCGGUAAUACGGAGAGGGCUAGCGUUAUUCGGAAUUAUUGGGCGUAAAGGGCGCGUAGGCUGAUUAAUAAGUUAAAAGUGAAAUCCCGAGGCUUAACCUUGGAAUUGCUUUUAAAACUAUUAAUCUAGAGAUUGAAAGAGGAUAGAGGAAUUCCUGAUGUAGAGGUAAAAUUCGUAAAUAUUAGGAGGAACACCAGUGGCGAAGGCGUCUAUCUGGUUCAAAUCUGACGCUGAAGCGCGAAGGCGUGGGGAGCAAACAGGAUUAGAUACCCUGGUAGUCCACGCUGUAAACGAUGAAUGUUAAAUAUGGGAAGUUUA